rnacentral:misc_RNA from 1 species
UCAUUACUGAAUGGCCUUUUGGGCCUUCAACCUUCAAAAACAUGUGGAAGCAAGAUGUGCUUCGGUGCCUCUGGUGCCGCCUUUAUGCAGUGAAGCUUUAUUUGUCUGAACCAAAAUCAAAAAGUUAAAACUUUCAACAAAGGAUCUCUUGGCUCUCACAUCGAUGAAGAACGCAGCGAAGCGCGAAAUGUAGUGUGAAUCGCAGAACUUAGUGAAUCAUCGAAUCUUUGAACGCACAUUGCGCCUCCCAUCAUCGGGAGGCAUGCCUGUCUGAGCGUCAUUUAAACCAUAGCUCCCAUCUGGGACUGUACUGGGCAUCGCCGACGGCGUAGCCUCAAAGACAUUGGUCUAAUCAAGCGGACGAGUUCCUUUAGGACGGACCGUUGGGUUGACCUUAAACCUCUGACUUGACCUC